CGGGAUCAAUGCCAUCGUCGAUUCGAGCAUCAGGGGCCUCACAGCUGAACAGUUCAGAGAUAUGAGAAACCAGCAGCUAAUGCAACAUGGAGACGAUCGAAUGGAUGAUACUGAGCAAGCUCUCGCACGAUCUAAGGAGGUUAUUUUGGUAGAACUCAAUUGAAGCUGAAGACUGGGAGCUACCAACUAACGGUGAAUAAAUGAGCAAGAUGGAAGCUUUGUUUCUUUAGAACCCUAAACACUCUUGAGCAGCACCUGCGGGAGAGAGAUUG